ACACACACAUGCAGGGCUUCCAGUUUCUUUCCAUGUUGUGUGUUUGGCCCUUGUCCCUGCCUCAGUCUUUCUCGUCAGUUUCUAAUUGGAAAGAACAGGCUCCCUAAGCAAAGCCACAUGCCUGAUUGUAACGAGUGACAUUCAGGCACGUGUGUUUGG